rnacentral:rRNA from 1 species
AUAACUAAGCGGAGGAAAAGAAACUAACCAGGAUUCCCCCAGUAACGGCGAGUGAAGCGGGAAGAGCCCAGCACCGAAUCCCCCGGCCGCACGGCCGGCGGGAACUGUGGUGUGCGGGACGCCACCAGCCGCGCGGGCGGGCGCCGAAGUCCUCCUGAUCGAGGCCUCUCCCAGGGCGGGUGUAAGGCCUUUGCCGGUGCCGGCGCGCGCGGCCGCGAGCGUCCCAGGAGUCGGGUUGUUUGGGAAUGCAGCCCAAAGUGGGUGGUAAACUCCAUCUAAGGCUAAAUACUGGCGCGAGUCCGAUAGCGGACAAGUACCGUGAGGGAAGGUUGAAAAGAACUUUGAAAAGAUAGUUCAAGAGUACGUGAAACUGCCCGGAGGCAAACGGGCGGACCCGCAAAGUCGGCCGGCGGAAUUCGUCCGGCCGGGGGAC